rnacentral:tRNA from 1 species
GGAAGGGUGGCAGAGUGGUCUAUCGCGACUGUCUUGAAAACAGUUGAACCGCAAGGUUCCGGGGGUUCGAAUCCCUCCCCUUCCG